rnacentral:rRNA from 1 species
GAUGAACGCUAGCGGCAGGCUUAACACAUGCAAGUCGAGGGGUAACAGGGGAAAGCUUGCUUUUUUGCUGACGACCGGCGCACGGGUGAGUAACGCGUAUAGAACCUACCUUUUACAGGGGAAUAGCCCAGAGAAAUUUGGAUUAAUACCCUAUAGUAUUAUUGAGUGGCAUCAUUUAAUAAUUAAACAUUUAUGGGUAAAAGAUGGCUAUGCGUUCUAUUAGCUAGAUGGUAAGGUAACGGCUUACCAUGGCAACGAUAGAUAGGGGUCCUGAGAGGGAGAUCCCCCACACUGGUACUGAGACACGGACCAGACUCCUACGGGAGGCAGCAGUGAGGAAUAUUGGACAAUGGAGGCAACUCUGAUCCAGCCAUGCCGCGUGCAGGAAGACGGCCCUAUGGGUUGUAAACUGCUUUUAUACGGGAAGAAACCCAACUACGUGUAGUUGGCUGACGGUACCGUAAGAAUAAGCACCGGCUAACUCCGUGCCAGCAGCCGCGGUAAUACGGAGGGUGCAAGCGUUAUCCGGAAUCAUUGGGUUUAAAGGGUCCGUAGGCGGGCUAAUAAGUCAGGGGUGAAAUCCAACAGCUUAACUGUUGAACUGCCUUUGAUACUGUUAGUCUUGAAUUAUAUGGAAGUAGAUAGAAUGUGUAGUGUAGCGGUGAAAUGCUUAGAGAUUACACAGAAUACCGAUUGCGAAGGCAGUCUACUACGUA